rnacentral:tRNA from 1 species
GCUGGGGUCGCAUAGCCUGGCCAUUGCGUCAGACCGAGGAUCUGAUUUCCUUCGCGGAUCCGCGGGUUCAAAUCCCGCCCCCAGCG